UACGUAGGGUGCGAGCGUUAAUCGGAAUUACUGGGCGUAAAGCGUGCGCAGGCGGUUCGUUAUGUCCGAUGUGAAAGCCCCGAGCUCAACUUGGGAAUGGCAUUGGAAACUGGCGGGCUGGAGUGUGGCAGAGGGGGGUGGAAUUCCACGUGUAGCAGUGAAAUGCGUAGAGAUGUGGAGGAACACCGAUGGCGAAGGCAGCCCCCUGGGCCAACACUGACGCUCAUGCACGAAAGCGUGGGGAGCAAACAGG
rnacentral:rRNA from 1 species